UUAACGAAAGUACUAGUUGAUAGAUAUAAUUAGCCGAUAGGAUAUAUAUUGUAGCUGCUUUCACCCGAGGAGCUGUUUAAUGCGGAAAACAAACUUUUAUAGCAGUUAAACAUUCCUCGCCUCCGUCUGAAAACAAAUUUUAACUCGCAUUCAGUAAUUUCGUUUAAAAGGCUGCAAAAAUCCUGUCCUGAGCUCAAGAAUCUAGUAGCUCUAAAACCCUGAUAUUUUUUGUUCUACUUUUCGUAUAUUUUGAAUAUAUUGAAUCCGCAGUUGUAGGGAGGUUGGUUUUGGUUUGUUUCAUUCAAAAAAAUUCUGCUUUGGUAGGGUUUCAUAGUAUUUUCUUGCAAAUUCGGCCCAUUUCUUGUCACUGCAUCGUUGACAGCACGACACAAUCUGUGCAGAAUCUCGAGGUAAAAUGGGAAAGAGAAAGAGAGAGCAAAAGCUAAAAGAGAAUGAAGGAGGAGAUUUACAUGAUUUCCGCACAGUUUUUGUGAACAAGUUGCCGUAUUCUUUCACUAAUACUCAGCUAGAGGAAUCUUUCAGUGACAUUGGACCCAUAAGACGGUGCUUCCUAGUGAAACCAAAAGGAUCUGAUCAGCAUCGUGGCUUUGGAUUUGUUCAAUUUGCUAUGGUAGAGGAUGCAAAACGUGCUGUUGAAGCAAAGAAGGGAUCAGUUAUAGGUGGGCGGAAGAUUGCUGUGGAUCUUGCUAAGCAUCGGCCUUCAUUUCAGCAACGUCGUGCUAAGACAGGCAAAGGUGACACGGAAGCACAAACAGAAAAUGUGGAGGAUCAUAAAACUAUGGAUAACACCAAAAAAAAUAUUUGUGUAGAUUCAGAGGGAGGGAAAAGAAAAGAAGGUAUUCCAAAUAUUGGCAUUGUCUAUCCUUCAAAAUUAAUAACAGGUGGCUUAAUAACUCAAAAGGCACUGAAAACAAAGGCGAAUAAACAAGAGAAAUUAGAAAUACCUUCAAGUGUCCACCCUCAUGAAGAAAGCAGGGAUUCUGCAGAAAAAGGGAUGCCAGGAAUAAAGCAUAGCUGUAGUCCAUCCAAUUUGGAACUCAAGAGUUCUGCAAUUCAAAGGGUUGCAAGAACUGUUAUUUUUGGUGGUCUCAUUGACCAAAAAAUGACAGAGGCAGUGCUUUUUGAGGCAAAGAAAGCUGGCGAUGUAGAAUCCAUCACAAAUCCACUACCAGAGUUUGAGCUACAAAGCCAUGGGCUUGCUCGGGAUGGUUGCAAAAUGGGGGCUGUUGCUGUAGUAUAUGUUUCUGUUAAAUCAGCAUGUCAAGCUGUCGCCAGAUUACAUCAGAAAAUUAUUGAAGGGGCAGUAGUUUGGGCACGUCAACUUGGUGGUGAGGGUUCAAAGACAAGCAAAUGGAGGCUUAUUGUUAGAAAUCUGCCUUUUGAGGCUAGUGAAGUGGAACUAAGGAAGCUUUUCUCAACAGCAGGUUUUCUGUGGAAUAUUACUAUCCCUCAGGGUUCUGAUGGCAGGCCAUCUAAAGGUUUUGCUUUUGUUUCCUUCACUUGCAAAAGAGAUGCUGAAAAGGCAAUUCGUAUUUUUAAUGGAACCAAAGUUGGCAAGAGACCAAUUGCUGUAGACUGGGCUGUUUCAAAGAAGAAGUAUGAAACUGUUCUUACUUCAGGAGCUGCAAACUCAGGUGGUGAAGUUUCUGGCAGUGAAGUGUCUGACCUAGAGGAUAAUGAUACAGCUAGUGAGGAUGAAUCAGAUAACAAUUUAGCGGGAGAUCCUGCCUCCAGCAUACACAUACGUGAUAAUUGUGUUGAUGAACACAGGCUUGAUACUAACACUGCAUCCAUCAAAGAUGAUGGAAAUGCUGGGACAGAACAUUUGAACAUUUUAAAGGAGGUUGACAUAGCAAAGAAAGUACUCAGCAAUAUCAUUAAUUCUCAUGCAAAAGAGGAUAGCACCUUGAUUUCAAGUGUUCAAAAUAACUUCGAAGAGUUCACUGGAGCAAAGGCCACAAUUCCUGAAAAUAAAAUGAUUUCCAUCAGUAAAACUACAAAUGUGGAUUUCAAAGAAGAAAAUGCUAACAGAGGAGCAGAAAAGUCUGUUCAAAAGGGUUCUUGCACACAAAAAGAUGAGAGCUUACAGAAAACAAUAUUUAUAAGUAAUCUUCCGUUUGACAUUAAUAGCGACGAGUUAAAAACACGAUUCUCAGUUUUUGGGAAAAUUAAAUCUGUUCACCGUGUUCUUCAUCAACUUACAAAGCGACCAAAGGGUACAGCAUUCAUUGAGUAUGAAACAAUAGAAGGAGCUGAAGCUUCUAUAUUGGCUGCAGAAACAAGACAGGGCUUAGCAGAUUCAGGAAUCACUAUAAAAGGAAGACCAUUGACAAUUUUGAAGGCUAUAGAUAAAACAUCAGCUGGUCAGAAGGCAAAAGAGAAGGUAGAAAAGGAGGUUCAUGAUCAUCGCAACCUCUAUCUGACUAAGGAAGGUCUUAUUUUAGAAGGCACACCUGCUGCUGCCGGAGUAUCGAAAGAAGAUAUGUCUAAGCGUCAAAUUUUGGCACGUCAAAAGGAAAUAAAACUUAGGAGUCCAAAUUUCCAUGUUUCAAGAACAAGGCUAGCAAUUUACAAUGUGCCAAAGUCUAUGACAGAAAAGGAACUAAAGAAACUGUUCAUCAACGCAGUACAGUCACGUGCAUCCAAACAAAACCCCUUGAUUAAGCAGGUGAAAAUUUUGAGGGAUAUUAAGAAGCCUAUUAGCACUGUAAAGGGCAGAUCUCGAGGUGUGGCUUUCAUUGAAUUCGGUGAACAUGAACAUGCAAUUGUGGCUCUUCGUGUGCUCAAUAACCACCCAGAAAAAUUUGUGCCAGAGCAUCGGCCUAUUGUUGAGUUUGCAAUUGAAGAUGUACGAAAGUUGCAAAAGCGUAACUUGUCAGUUGCCUCUGCCAAAAUUAGAAAUGGUGAUAAAGGAGUGUCUGCCAAGAAGCAGAGGCAAAAUAUAACCCAGACAAGUGGGAGUCUAGGGGACAAGGAGUCUUUUUCUAAAACUUUAGAGGGUGAAGUGAAAGAAAAUGCAGUUAAAAGGAACAAAAAGGAGAGAAAGAAAAGUCAAAAUGAAACUGAGACAGAUGUACGUGUAGGAAACAAGUCUGAGAGCUCUAAAUCUUCUAAAGAGGAAGAGAAAAAAAAUGUAGUCAAACAGAGCAAAAAGGACAGGAAAAAUAGACGCAAGGUUGGCAGAGAAAAUCUUAUGAUGGAGGAUAAUGGUGAGUCCAAUACAAGUGGUAGUUCUAAGAAACAGAAGCAGAAAGCUGUUUCUGGAAAAGUUCCAGCAGAGGCCAAAGAAAAAGAGCAUAUGACAGAUAAAUCUACAGGUCAGCGUCAAUCGCAGGAUGGCAAGGGAGUGCAACUCUGUGUGUCUGUCACUGGCAAAAAAAUUAGCAAGUUGCAACAAAAUGUGCAUGACAAAAAGCUUGUGAAAAGGAAGUUUAAUGAUAGUAUCGAUGCAGUUUCAGAUAAGCAGAACGGUAAAAGACCAAAGAAAAAGGCAAAUAGCGGAAAGGAGAUUGAAGAUGAACUGGAUAAGCUGGUUGCACGGUACCGGUCCAAGUUGUUUUCAAACAACUCUAAUUCAAAUAAGAAAAAUGAUUUAAAACAAGGUACUGGAGAGCUUCGGAGAUGGUUUGAAUGAUUUCAUUUUGAGUUGAAUGGACAAUUUGCAGUUGUCUCUAGCUGCCUUCAUUUUGCAUAGAUGAAAAGCUAAUUGGGUGUUCAAUGGAACACCUAAAUCACAAUUUUUGUUCAGUGCAUCUACCUGAUAUGCUAUGAAAAAUGGCCAAGUUGAGUUGGUGAGCAUACUUAGAUUUACACUGUACAGGUUCAAUGAAUCUGGUAACACGUUUCACUCGGUGUAUAUCAACUCGGUGUAUUAUCUUUACUGCUCGGUAGACAUGAAUUAACACUUGGUAGACAGCUCGGUGUAUACUGGGCUCUUUGACUGUUUUCCUUUUGUAAUCGACUAGACUGUUCAUAUCGACUAAAUAUUUUGGUAGUGGUAACCGACUAGAGUAUAUAGAAUGACUUUGUAUAUAAAACUAAUGGCAAUUUGAUAAGUAGUAAUAAUCUCCCCUUUUGACAUUA